rnacentral:rRNA from 1 species
GACGAACGCUGGCGGCGUGCCUAAUACAUGCAAGUUGAGCGCUGAAGGUUGGUACUUGUACCAACUGGAUGAGCAGCGAACGGGUGAGUAACGCGUGGGGAAUCUGCCUUUGAGCGGGGGACAGCAUUUGGAAACGAAUGCUAAUACCGCAUAAAAACUUUAAACACAAGUUUUAAGUUUGAAAGAUGCAAUUGCAUCACUCAAAGAUGAUCCCGCGUUGUAUUAGCUAGUUGGUGAGGUAAAGGCUCACCAAGGCGAUGAUACAUAGCCGACCUGAGAGGGUGAUCGGCCACAUUGGGACUGAGACACGGCCCAAACUCCUACGGGAGGCAGCAGUAGGGAAUCUUCGGCAAUGGGCGAAAGUCUGACCGAGCAACGCCGCGUGAGUGAAGAAGGUUUUCGGAUCGUAAAGCUCUGUUGGUAGAGAAGAACGUUUGUGAGAGUGGAAAGCUCAUCCAGUGACGGUAACUACCCAGAAAGGGACGGCUAACUACGUG